UACGUAGGGGGCAAGCGUUGUCCGGAAUCAUUGGGCGUAAAGAGCGUGUAGGCGGCUUGGUAAGUCCGCUGUGAAAGUCCAGGGCUCAACCCUGGAAUGCCGGUGGAAACUGUCAAGCUUGAGUCCGGAAGAGGCGAGUGGAAUUCCUGGUGUAGCGGUGAAAUGCGCGGAUAUCAGGAGGAACACCAAUGGCGAAGGCAGCUCGCUGGGACGGUACUGACGCUGAGACGCGAAAGCGUGGGGAGCAAACAGG
rnacentral:rRNA from 1 species